UCAUCUGUUUCUUAAAUAUUUAUUGAAUUUGACUUUUAAGUGAAAAGGCUUAAAUAAAACAAAAAGACGAUAAGACCCUAUAAAUCUUUACAAUAAAUAUAUUUUAUAUUUUAGCUUAUAAGUGUAUAAGAAAUAAAAAUAUAGGUUUGUUGCGCUGGGGCGGCGUAGAUAUAUAAAUAAACUGUCUAUAAUUUAAAUACAAUAAUCAUUGCUUAAUACAAAUUGAUCCUUAAAUAGAUUAAAAGAUUAAGAUACUUUAGGGAUAACAGCGUUA
rnacentral:rRNA from 1 species